AGAGAGUUAGUCUAAAAACAAGACAGUUGAUUUCGACUCAACAAACCAUAGUCUACUCUAUGACUUUCUU
rnacentral:tRNA from 2 species